CCUACGGGAGGCAGCAGUGGGGAAUAUUGGACAAUGGGGGGAACCCUGAUCCAGCCAUGCCGCGUGUGUGAAGAAGGCCCUCGGGUUGUAAAGCACUUUCAGUGAGGAAGAACGCCUGGUGGUUAAUACCCAUCAGGAAAGACAUCACUCACAGAAGAAGCACCGGCUAACUCCGUGCCAGCAGCCGCGGUAAUACGGAGGGUGCGAGCGUUAAUCGGAAUUACUGGGCGUAAAGCGCGCGUAGGUGGCUUGAUAAGCCGGUUGUGAAAGCCCCGGGCUCAACCUGGGAACGGCAUCCGGAACUGUCAAGCUAGAGUGCAGGAGAGGAAGGUAGAAUUCCCGGUGUAGCGGUGAAAUGCGUAGAGAUCGGGAGGAGUACCAGUGGCGAAGGCGGCCUUCUGGACUGACACUGACACUGAGGUGCGAAAGCGUGGGUAGCAAACAGGAUUAGAUACCCUGGUAGUC
rnacentral:rRNA from 1 species